rnacentral:rRNA from 1 species
UACGUAGGGGGCAAGCGUUGGUCCGGAUUUAUUGGGCGUAAAGAGCGUGUAGGCGGUUUGGUAGGUCCGCUGUGAAAACUCGAGGCUCAACCUCGAGACGCCGGUGGAAACCAUCAGGCUAGAGUCCGGAAGAGGAGAGUGGAAUUCCUGGUGUAGCGGUGAAAUGCGCAGAUAUCAGGAGGAACACCGGUGGCGAAGGCGGUUCUCUGGGCAUGUCCUGACGCUGAGGAGCGAAAGUGUGGGGAGCGAACAGG